rnacentral:rRNA from 1 species
GACGAACGCUGGCGGCGUGCUUAACACAUGCAAGUCGAACGGAAAGGCCCUGCUUUUGUGGGGUGCUCGAGUGGCGAACGGGUGAGUAACACGUGAGUAACCUGCCCUUGACUUUGGGAUAACUUCAGGAAACUGGGGCUAAUACCGGAUAGGAGCUCCUGCUGCAUGGUGGGGGUUGGAAAGUUUCGGCGGUUGGGGAUGGACUCGCGGCUUAUCAGCUUGUUGGUGGGGUAGUGGCUUACCAAGGCUUUGACGGGUAGCCGGCCUGAGAGGGUGACCGGCGACAUUGGGACUGAGAUACGGAGCAGACUCCUACGGGAGGCAGCAGUGGGGAGUAUUGCACAAUGGGCGGGAGCCUGAUGCAGCAACGCCGCGUGCGGGAUGACGGCCUUCGGGUUGUAAACCGCUUUCGCCUGUGACGAAGCGUGAGUGACGGUAAUGGGUAAAGAAGCACCGGCUAACUACGUG